rnacentral:rRNA from 1 species
ACUGCUCAGUAACACGUGGAUAACCUGCCCUUGGGUCCGGCAUAACCCCGGGAAACUGGGGAUAAUUCUGGAUAACGCAUAUAUGCUGGAAUGCUUUCUGCGUCAAAUGGAUUCGUCUGCCAAGGAUGGGUCUGCGGCCUAUCAGGUAGUAGUGGGUGUAAUGUACCUACUAGCCUACGACGGGUACGGGUUGUGAGAGCAAGAGCCCGGAGAUGGAUUCUGAGACAUGAAUCCAGGCCCUACGGGGCGCAGCAGGCGCGAAAACUUUACAAUGCGGGAAACCGUGAUAAGGGGACACCGAGUGCCAGCGUCAUACGCUGGCUGUCCAGGUGUGUAAAAUACACCUGAUAGCAAGGGCCGGGCAAGACCGGUGCCAGCCGCCGCGGUAACACCGGCGGCCCGAGUGGUAAUCGUGAUUAUUGGGUCUAAAGGGUCCGUAGCCUGUUUGGUCAGUCCUCCGGGAAAUCUGACAGCUUAACUGUUAGGCUUUCGGCGGAUACUGCCAGACUUGGAACCGGGAGAGGUAAGAGGUACUACAGGGGUAGGAGUGAAAUCUUGUAAUCCCUGUGGGACCACCUGUGGCGAAGGCGUCUUACCAGAACGGGUUCGACGGUGAGGGACGAAAGCUGGGGGCACGAACCGGAUUAGAUACCCGGGUAGUCCCAGCCGUAAACGAUGCUCGCUAGGUGUCAGGCAUGGCGCGACCGUGUCUGGUGCCGCAGGGAAGCCGUGAAGCGAGCCACCUGGGAAGUACGGCCGCAAGGCUGAAACUUAAAGGAAUUGGCGGGGGAGCAC